CGGACGGGUGAGUAAUGUAUGGGGAUCUGCCUGAUGGCGGGGGAUAACUACUGGAAACGGUAGCUAAUACCGCAUAAUGUCUGCGGACCAAAGCGGGGGACCUCCGGGCCUCGCGCCAUCAGAUGAACCCAUAUGGGAUUAGCUUGUAGGUAAGGUAACGGCUUACCUAGGCGACGAUCCCUAGCUGGUCUGAGAGGAUGACCAGCCACACUGGAACUGAGGCACGGUCCAG
rnacentral:rRNA from 1 species